AGACAGGCGAUCUGGUUGCGACAUCUGUCACCCCAUUGAUCGCCAGGGUUGAUUCGGCUGAUCUGGCUGGCUAGGCAGGUGUCCCCUUCCUCCCUCACCGCUCCAUGUGUGUCCCUUCCGAAGUUGCGCACUCGGUGGAAGAGGACGACCAUCCCAGAUAGAAGGAGUGUACCGAUCUUCGGUCAAGGGUAUAUGAUAGCUGUGCUCCUCUGCUAGAACCUCCAAACAAGCUCAAUUUAAUUAAAGUGGUUUGCCGCGCUCCAUAGUGCAUUAUAUUACUGCGAUUCAUAUUCUUAU